CGAGAUAUAGCAUAUAUAAUGCUUUUUACUUACACUAAAAAUAAAGCUCAUAGCUUACCUCGCUU
rnacentral:tRNA from 1 species